rnacentral:rRNA from 1 species
CAGUAGCCACGGUAAAACGAAGGGGGCUAGCGUUGCUCGGAAUGACUGGGCGUAAAGGGCGCGUAGGCGGUUUGUACAAUUGGAUGUGAAAUUCCUGGGCUUAACCUGGGGGCUGCAUUCAAUACGUGCAGGCUUGAGUGUGGAAGAGGGUUGUGGAAUUCCACGUGUAGCAGUGAAAUGCGUAGAGAUGUGGAGGAAUACCGAUGGCGAAGGCAGCCCCCUGGGCCAAUACUGACGCUCAUGCACGAAAGCGUGGGGAGCAAACAGGAUUAGAUACCCGGGUAGUCCCUGUCUCUUAUAU